rnacentral:rRNA from 1 species
GUCCACGCCGUAAACGAUGUCAACUAGCCGUCGGGUUCACUUAAGAACUUGGUGGCGCAGCUAACGCGAUAAGUUGACCGCCUGGGGAGUACGGCCGCAAGGCUAAACUCAAAGGAAUUGACGGGGCCCGCACAAGCGGUGGAGCAUGUGGUUUAAUUCGAUGCAACGCGAAGAACCUUACCUGCCCUUGACAUCCACGGAACUUUCCAGAGAUGGAUUGGUGCCUUCGGGAACCGUGAGACAGGUGCUGCAUGGCUGUCGU